CGCGGCCUAUCAGCUUGUUGGUGGGGUAAUGGCCUACCAAGGCAACGACGGGUAGCCGGCCUGAGAGGGUGACCGGCCACACUGGGACUGAGACACGGCCCAGACUCCUACGGGAGGCAGCAGUGGGGAAUAUUGGACAAUGGGCGAAAGCCUGAUCCAGCAACGCCGCGUGAGGGAUGACGGCCUUCGGGUUGUAAACCUCUUUCAGCAGGGACGAAGCGCAAGUGACGGUACCUGCAGAAGAAGCACCGGCCAACUACGUGCCAGCAGCCGCGGUAAUACGUAGGGUGCGAGCGUUGUCCGGAAUUAUUGGGCGUAAAGGGCUCGUAGGCGGUUUGUCGCGUCGGGAGUGAAAACUCAGGGCUUAACCCUGAGCCUGCUUCCGAUACGGGCAGACUAGAGGUAUGCAGGGGAGAACGGAAUUCCUGGUGUAGCGGUGAAAUGCGCAGAUAUCAGGAGGAACACCGGUGGCGAAGGCGGUUCUCUGGGCAUUACCUGACGCUGAGGAGCGAAAGUGUGGGGAGCGAACAGGAUUAGAUACCCUGGUAGUCCACACCGUAAACGUUGGGCGCUAGGUGUGGGACUCAUUCCACGAGUUCCGUGCCGCAGCUAACGCAUUAAGCGCCCCGCCUGGGGAGUACGG
rnacentral:rRNA from 1 species